CCAUUGGGUAGAAAUCCCUCCAACCCUAUCUCUCUCUUGUGCGCCUAGGAGAGUAUGACAAAGCUGAUUUCCUUUUGUUAGCCUUAAAGUUUAAUUACUAGUAAGCUUUAACACUCUCUCAUUUGCUUCCCUUGUGCGCUGUGUAGGUGAAAGAACAAAUAUGUAAUUGGUGUCUAAUUGCCAAACACAACCAGCCACCUUAUCCUUUUUCCUUCUUGUGAAAUGUAAGGUAGCUGAAUAUUAUUCUCUAGAUUCAGAACAGAAAACACAGCCUCUCAACCUCCCUCCGAAACUGUUAAUCACCAAAGAAGCACCACAAGAAUGUAACUUGCAAUCCUUCCUUUCUUUUGACCGAGAGCCUUCAUCCUCAUCAUCUCAAGACCUUGAGUAAUUAGCAAAGUACACAAAGCAUCAUCUUCCUCUCCUCUCACUGAUUAGACCGUCGAACAACCUACCUCAAGGAGAGCUCAACAUCUGCUCAUCUAUUUGUCUUCCUGGUCCAGCCGUAAUGCAAUCUUCAAGGAGCAGUAAAGUGUGAUCCUUGGAGGUGAAGGUGAGGGCAUUUGCUUAACCAUUGGUUGCUGCUCCCUCCAAGCGAUUAGUGAAACUUUGGGUACAUACUUGGGGGCUGUAAACCGAAGACCAAGUCUCCAUCUCACCCUCACUGUUCGGUUUUCUUAAGGUGCACAUAACCUGUGAGUGUGGACUGAGUAUGCUGCUGUUUGAUUUAUAUUUGGGCACACAAUGAGUGCGAAAGAGCAUUUGAUGAUGAUGUACUUGUAUUGUGGAUAUUCUGUUUACAUGCUGCUGUUGGAAAUUCUACUGUAUGUAGCUGAUUUUGCUGAAUGCGCAUGAAAUAUUUGACAUUGGUGUAAUAUUUGGGAGAUUGGAAAAAAUGUUGGAUCAUAUAUUAUUUUGCUAUAAUUUGGGAUUUAUGUACUGUUUGUAAAUUACGUAAUGUUGAACUCGUUUGCGAAAACAAUUUUUGUCUAUUUUUAAA